UUGUCUCAAAGAUUAAGCCAUGCAUGUCUCAGUACAAGCCACAUUAAGGUGAAACCGCGAAAGGCUCAUUAAAUCAGUUAUGGUUCCUUAGAUCGUACCCACAUUUACUUGGAUAACUGUGGUAAUUCUAGAGCUAAUACAUGCAAACAGAGCUCCGACCGGAGACGGAAGGAGUGCUUUUAUUAGAACAAAACCAAUCGGCGGCGGGUGCGUUCGCGCGCCCGUUCGCCGCUCUGCCUGGUGACUCUGAAUAACUUUCGGCUGAUCGCACGGUCUCGCACCGGCGACGCAUCUUUCAAAUGUCUGCCUUAUCAACUGUCGAUGGUAGGUUCUGCGCCUACCAUGGUCGUAACGGGUAACGGGGAAUCAGGGUUCGAUUCCGGAGAGGGAGCCUGAGAAACGGCUACCACAUCCAAGGAAGGCAGCAGGCGCGCAAAUUACCCACUCCCGGCACGGGGAGGUAGUGACGAAAAAUAACGAUACGGGACUCAUCCGAGGCCCCGUAAUCGGAAUGAGUACACUUUAAAUCCUUUAACGAGGACCCAUUGGAGGGCAAGUCUGGUGCCAGCAGCCGCGGUAAUUCCAGCUCCAAUAGCGUAUAUUAAAGUUGUUGCGGUUAA
rnacentral:rRNA from 1 species